rnacentral:rRNA from 1 species
AUUGAACGCUGGCGGCAGGCCUAACACAUGCAAGUCGAACGAGUGGCGGACGGGUGAGUAAUGUCUGGGAAACUGCCUGAUGGAGGGGGAUAACUACUGGAAACGGUAGCUAAUACCGCAUACCAUCGGAUGUGCACAGAUGGGAUUAGCUAGUAGGUGGGGUAAAGGCUCACCUGGGCGACGAUCCCUAGCUGGUCUGAUAGGAGGACCAGCCACACGGGAACGGAGACACGGUCCAGACUCCUACGGGAGGCAGCAGUGGGGAAUAUUGCACAAUGGGCGCAAGCCGGAUGCAGACAUGCCGCGUGUAUGAAGAAGGCCUUCGGGUUGUAAAGUACGUUCAGCGGGGAGGCGGUACCCGCAGAAGAAGCACCGGCUAACUCCGUGCCAGCAGCCGCGGUAAUUC